CCAGCCAUCCCGCGUGUAUGAUGAAGGCCUUCGGGUUGUAAAGUACUUUGGGCAGAGAAGAAAAGGCAUCCCCUAAUACGGGAUGCUGCUGACGGUAUGUGCAGAAUAAGCACCGGCUAACUACGUGCCAGCAGCCGCGGUAAUACGUAGGGUGCAAGCGUUAAUCGGAAUUACUGGGCGUAAAGCGUGUGUAGGCGGUUCGGAAAGAAAGAUGUGAAAUCCCAGGGCUCAACCUUGGAACUGCAUUUUUAACUGCCGAGCUAGAGUAUGUCAGAGGGGGGUAGAAUUCCACGUGUAGCAGUGAAAUGCGUAGAUAUGUGGAGGAAUACCGAUGGCGAAGGCAGCCCCCUGGGAUAAUACUGACGCUCAGACACGAAAGCGUGGGGGAGCAAACAGGAUUAGAUACCCUGGUAGUCCACGCCCUAAACGAUGUCAACUAGCUGUUGGGGCCGUUAGGCCUUAGUAGCGCAGCUAACGCGUGAAGUUGACCGCCUGGGGAGUACGGUCGCAAGAUUAAAACUCAAAGGAAUUGACGGGGACCCGCACAAGCGGUGGAUGAUGUGGAUUAAUUCGAUGCAACGCGAAAAACCUUACCUACCCUUGACAUGUCUGGAAUGCCGAAGAGAUUUGGCAGUGCUCGCAAGAGAACCGGAACACAGGUGCUGCAUGGCUGUCGUCAGCUCGUGUCGUGAGAUGUUGGGUUAAGUCCCGCAACGAGCGCAACCCUUGUCAUUAGUUGCUACGCAAGAGCACUCUAAUGAGACUGCCGGUGACAAACCGGAGGAAGGUGGGGAUGACGUCAAGUCCUCAUGGCCCUUAUGGGUAGGGCUUCACACGUCAUACAAUGGUCGGGACAGAGGGUCGCCAACCCGCGAGGGGGAGCCAAUCUCAGAAACCCGAUCGUAGUCCGGAUCGCAGUCUGCAACUCGACUGCGUGAAGUCGGAAUCGCUAGUAAUCGCGGAUCAGAAUGUCGCGGUGAAUACGUUCCCGGGUCUUGUACUCACCGCCCGUCAA
rnacentral:rRNA from 1 species